AUGCGGGACUUCUAACAUGUUAACAUGCCCACUUGAGCAAAUGAUUUUUUGGCUCAUGACAAAAAAAAGUCCACAAAAUGUCCUAUUUUUUUUGUAACUAAAAAGGUUAAAUCCAGAUCUAUUAAAGACACAUACCUAACUCCCGGGUGGAAGUACAACCCACGGAUAGAUCUUCUCCGGAGCAUUCAAAUGAGCCGAAAGCAAUAGCACAUAUCCGUGUGGUCAGCAGAGUUCGAACCAGGGUUCAGCGUUUUGG
rnacentral:lncRNA from 1 species